rnacentral:pre_miRNA from 1 species
CCUGCAUUGUACACACUGUGUGUAUUGACUGGGCGUGCACAGCGCAUACAAUGUGGAUA